GGGGGCUAUGGGUAGCAGAAUGAUGUAGGGGUCUUCAAACAAUAAUGGCUUGGGGGAAAGGUCAUGUGAGAACACAGAGAGAAGGGGCCAUCUCUGACCCAGGACUAGUACUCCCCAGAACCUGACCUUGCUGCCUUCCUGAUUUUGGACUUCCAGCUUCCAGAACUAUCUACACGGGAGGCACCACAGGGGACUGCGCUUGCUUCUGAACAAUGUUGGGCUCAAAUUGGAAAAAUGUCACUUUGGCGGGAACAAAUUAUUGUUCCGAUCGCUCCUCGUAGAGCUGGUGUCUCCGGAUGGGCUCCGACCUGACCUUUUCCGAACCAGAGUACUCGACCUCCUGGAAGAUCCCCAGCACUUCCACUGAUGGGUUCUUGUGCAUAAUUAAGGGAUUCAGCCGGAAACAUAUGAACCAGAGGGAAGAUGAAGGAAGAAGCCCAACAGGCCACUGAUACAAAUACACAAGACAGAAGCCGCAAGAACCAGUCUACCUUGCUUCAAAUCCUACCUCUGCCCCUCAAUAGCUCUGUGACUUCAUGAGACAACUUAUCUGUGUCCUCAGUUUCCAUAUUUCAGAAAAUGGAAGAAAUGUCAGUCCAGAUACCAUCAGGCUGGUGUUAGUAUAAACAAAAUUGAACGUCUAUAAGGAAGGAAGAAAAUGAUCAAUCAGCUCCUUGCAUCCUCAACACCCCACUCCUAGACAAGCACUGCUGUGUUCUCACAGACCCUCCCUGAUACUCUGAGGAGUGAGCCAGCCUUCUAGGACGGGGAGCCAGUGCCCAACACGACAGGACACCCAGACAACAUGUGCUGAACAGGAAACAAAACUCAUGGGGCAUAAAUGUCCAAUCCAAUCUGUAUCGGAAGAUCAGGAGUACUGAAACACUAUGUAAUUGAAAAACUAAAAAAAAGGAGAGGAAAGAAGAAAAAAAAAACAGUUUUAGACCUUGAUGAAAUGUUGGUACAGAACGAAAAGACACACAUCGGUGUGACUUCAGAGGCAGGGAACACUAUAAUCAGAGACUUAAAUUAUAUGAAGCUGUUUCUUUAUUUCUGUAAUUUGAUUGCACAUAAAUCAAUUUUGAUUAGAUUCAAAAAUUACUGAACAUGCACCUCAAUGAGCUGUCAAGUUUUAUCUGAUAACGUAAACUUUACAUGGGAUCAGUGCUAAUUUCUACCUAGAGCCAAUGUAAGAAUUCCCAACAACAAUGGCAGACAUCAUUAAAUGCUGCAAAUGUAGAAACAUAAUUAAAUUAGCUGAUAAUCAUCAUUCUCCUUCUAUAGAGGCUCUAAUUUAAUGCACUUGCAAAUGUAAUGAGGCUCGCUGGAUUGAAAAAUAUGGUGGAAAUAACAGAAACAAGAUUACAUUAAUUGGAAG